rnacentral:rRNA from 1 species
GCCGCCGCGGUAAUACGUAGGUGGCAAGCGUUGUCCGGAUUUACUGGGUGUAAAGGGCGCGUAGGCGGGUCUGCAAGUCAGAUGUGAAAUCCAUGGGCUCAACCCAUGAACUGCAUUUGAAACUGUAGAUCUUGAGUGUCGGAGAGGCAAGCGGAAUUCCUAGUGUAGCGGUGAAAUGCGUAGAUAUUAGGAGGAACACCAGUGGCGAAGGCGGCUUGCUGGACGAUAACUGACGCUGAGGCGCGAAAGCGUGGGGAGCAAACAGGAUUAGAUACCCC